UACGUAGGGGGCAAGCGUUGUCCGGAAUCAUUGGGCGUAAAGCGCGCGUAGGCGGCCCGGUAAGUCCGCUGUAAAAGUCCAGGGCUCAACCCUGGAAAGCCGGUGGAUACUGUCGGGCUCGAGUCCGGAAGAGGCGAGUGGAAUUCCUGGUGUAGCGGUGGAAUGCGCAGAUAUCAGGAGGAACAUCGAUGGCGAAGGCAGCUCGCUGGGACGGUACUGACGCUAAGGCGCGAAAGCGUGGGGAGCAAACAGG
rnacentral:rRNA from 1 species